CCUACGGGAGGCAGCAGUGAGGAAUAUUGGUCAAUGGGCGAGAGCCUGAACCAGCCAAGUCGCGUGAAGGAUGAAGGACCUAUGGGUUGUAAACUUCUUUUAUAUGGGAAUAAAGUGAGGAACGUGUUCCUUUUUGUAUGUACCUUAUGAAUAAGCAUCGGCUAACUCCGUGCCAGCAGCCGCGGUAAUACGGAGGAUGCGAGCGUUAUCCGGAUUUAUUGGGUUUAAAGGGUGCGUAGGUGGGUAAUUAAGUCAGUGGUGAAAGUUUGUGGCUCAACCGUAAAAUUGCCGUUGAAACUGGUAGACUUGAGUAUAUUUGAGGUAGGCGGAAUUCGUGGUGUAGCGGUGAAAUGCAUAGAUAUCACGCAGAACUCCGAUUGCGAAGGCAGCUUACUAAACUAUCACUGACACUGAAGCACGAAAGCGUGGGGAUCAAACAGGAUUAGAUACCCGAGUAGUC
rnacentral:rRNA from 1 species